GGACUACAGGGGUAUCUAAUCCUGUUUGCUCCCCACGCUUUCGCGCCUCAGCGUCAGUUGUGGUCCAGUUGGCCGCCUUCGCCACCGGUGUUCUUCCCAAUAUCUACGAAUUUCACCUCUACACUGGGAAUUCCACCAACCUCUCCCACACUCUAGCCUCGCUGUAUCGAGCGCAAUUCCUAGGUUGAGCCCAGGCAUUUCACGCCGGACGGACGAGGCCGCCUACGCGCCCUUUACGCCCAGUAAUUCCGAACAACGCUAGCCCCCUUCGUAUUACCGCGGCUGCUGGCAC
rnacentral:rRNA from 1 species